CUACAAAUAAUAUGGCCAGCAUUGACAGGACAGCUUGGAGAGAACAGUGCUACUGAAGAUGACUAGAGUGACAGAAUCUAGUCCAAAAGGAUUGUACUUCGAUGAUCUUCAAGUGUUUUUGUGCUGAAGCAAACUUUUCAAGUAAAUUAAGCUCACCAGCAAGGCUGGAAGAUUGAAGAGAAAAGAAAGAGGAGGAUUAUGUUUGACCGCUACAGCACCCUGCUUUUGCCUCGCAAAGAGAAGGACAGUCUGCUUUACAGAAUCUGCAGGGAGUCAGCGAGAGUGGGAAGCCUUUCCUUUUCCAAGCACAGACAACUGUCAAUAUCUAACGAGGCACCUGCUCCUAUCUCACGGUUUCUAUAAAACCCCCAUUUUGCAUGAGCUGACAGCUCGUGGUAUGAAAGGCAGCAGUUUCCUCACAUUCAAGAGCUCAGCAGGAGUCUGACAAGAUCAGAAGAAAAGUAACAGAAAAUUGUUGAUGCCACAAGCCUUGAAUAUUUUAUCAUGCUACCAGGC